rnacentral:rRNA from 1 species
AACAGGAUUAGAUACCCUGGUAGUCCACGCCCUAAACGAUGUCUACUAGUUGUCGGGUCUUAAUUGACUUGGUAACGCAGCUAACGCGUGAAGUAGACCGCCUGGGGAGUACGGUCGCAAGAUUAAAACUCAAAGGAAUUGACGGGGACCCGCACAAGCGGUGGAUGAUGUGGAUUAGUUCGAUGCAACGCGAAAAACCUUACCUACCCUUGACAUGGAAGGAAUCCUUGAGAGAUUGAGGAGUGCCCGAAAGGGAACCUUUACACAGGUGCUGCAUGGCUGCCGUCAGCUCGUGUCGUGAGAUGUUGGGUUAAGUCCCGCAACGAGCGCAACCCUUGUCAUUAGUUGCUACGAAAGGGCACUCUAAUGAGACUGCCGGUGACAAACCGGAGGAAGGUGGGGAUGACGUCAAGUCCUCAUGGCCCUUAUGGGUAGGGCUUCACACGUCAUACAAUGGUACAUACAGAGGGCCGCCAACCCGCGAGGGGGAGCUAAUCCCAGAAAGUGUAUCGUAGUCCGGAUUGUAGUCUGCAACUCGACUGCAUGAAGUUGGAAUCGCCAGUAAUCGCGGAUCAGCAUGUCGCGGUGAAUACGUUCCCGGGUCUUGUACACACCGCCCGUCACACCAUGGGAGCGGGUUUUACCAGAAGUAGGUAGCUUAACCGCAAGGAGGGCGCUUACCACGGUAGGAUUCGUGACUGGGGUGAAGUCGUAACAAGGUAACC